rnacentral:misc_RNA from 1 species
GAUGAAGAACGCAGCGAAAUGCGAUAAGUAAUGUGAAUUGCAGAAUUCAGUGAAUCAUCGAAUCUUUGAACGCACAUUGCGCCCGCCAGUAUUCUGGCGGGCAUGCCUGUUCGAGCGUCAUUUCAACCAUCAAGCCCCAGGCUUGUGUUGGGGACCUGCGGCUGCCGCAGGCCCUGAAAACCAGUGGCGGGCUCGCUGUCACACCGGGCGUAGUAGAUUUUAUCUCGCUCAGGGCGUGCUGCGGGUUCCGGCCGUUAAAAAGCCUUUUUUACCCAAGGUUGACCUCGGAUCAGGUAGGAAGACACGCUGAACUUAAGCAUAUCAAUAAGCGGAGGA